GAUGAACGCUGGCGGCGUGCUUAACACAUGCAAGUCGAGCGAAGCACUAAAGCGGAUUUCUUCGGAUUGAAGGUUUAGUGACUGAGCGGCGGACGGGUGAGUAACGCGUGGGUAACCUGCCUCAUACAGGGGGAUAACAGUUGGAAACGGCUGCUAAUACCGCAUAAGCGCACAGUACCGCAUGGUACGGUGUGAAAAACUCCGGUGGUAUGAGAUGGACCCGCGUCUGAUUAGGUAGUUGGUGGGGUAACGGCCUACCAAGCCGACGAUCAGUAGCCGACCUGAGAGGGUGACCGGCCACAUUGGGACUGAGACACGGCCCAAACUCCUACGGGAGGCAGCAGUGGGGAAUAUUGCACAAUGGGGGAAACCCUGAUGCAGCGACGCCGCGUGAGCGAAGAAGUAUUUCGGUAU
rnacentral:rRNA from 1 species